GGGCGAGUGGCGAAAUGGCAGACGCGCUGGCUUCAGGUGCCAGUGUUCGUAAGGACGUGGGGGUUCAAGUCCCCCCUCGCUCACAA
rnacentral:tRNA from 2 species